rnacentral:rRNA from 1 species
CUACGGGAGGCACCAGUAGGGAAUCUUAGACAAUGGGGGAAACCCUGAUCUAGCCAUGCCGCGUGAGUGAUGAAGGCCUAGGGUUGUAAAGCUCUUUCGCUGGGGAAGAUAAUGACGGUACCCAGUAAAGAAACCCCGGCUGACUCCGUGCCAGCAGCCGCGGUAAUACGGAGGGGGUUAGCGUUGUUCGGAAUUACUGGGCGUAAAGCGCGCGUAGGCGGGCUAUUAAGUCAGGGGUGAAAUCCCGGGGCUCAACCCGGAACUGCCUUUGAUACUGGUAGUCUUGAGUUCGAGAGAGGUGAGUGGAAUUCCGAGUGUAGAGGUGAAAUUCGUAGAUAUUCGGAGGAACAUCAGUGGCGAAGGCGACUCACUGGCUCGAUACUGACGCUGAGGUGCGAAAGUGUGGGGAGCAAACAGGAUUAGAUACCCGUGUAGUC